ACUCCUACGGGAGGCAGCAGUGGGGAAUAUUGCACAAUGGGGAAACCCUGAUGCAGCCAUGCCGCGUGUGUGAAGAAGGCCUUCGGUUGUAAAGCACUUUCAGUAGGGAGGAAGGUAGUGUAGUUAACACCUGCAUUAUUUGACGUUACCUACAGAAGAAGCACCGGCUAACUCCGUGCCAGCAGCCGCGGUAAUACGGAGGGGUGCGAGCGUUAAUCGGAAUUACUGGGCGUAAAGCGCAUGCAGGCGGCCUGUUAAGUCAGAUGUGAAAGCCCGGGGGCUUAACCUCGGAAUUGCAUUUGAAACUGGCAGGCUAGAGUCUUGUAGAGGGGGUAGAAUUUCAGGUGUAGCGGUGAAAUGCGUAGAGAUCUGAAGGAAUACCAGUGGCGAAGGCGGCCCCCUGGACAAAGACUGACGCUCAGAUGCGAAAGCUGGGGAGCGAAACAGGAUUAGAUACCCUGGUAGACUGUCA
rnacentral:rRNA from 1 species